CAACCUCUCCAGCUCUGCUGGGUCUUGGGGCUUGCCUUCCCGGGCAUCCCUUAAAACUAGAUGCGGCGCCGCGUUGGCUCUAAGCGUAGUACUUUUCUCGCUUUUGGGUCCGUCGUGGUGUUUGCUACCAAACCCCAACUUUCUAU
rnacentral:misc_RNA from 1 species